rnacentral:rRNA from 1 species
AUUGAACGCUGGCUGCAGGCCUAACACAUGCAAGUCGAGCGGAGCGGCGGACGUGUGAGUAAUGCCUAGGACUCUGCCUGGUAGUGGGGGCUAACGUCCGGAAACUGGCGCUAAUACCGCAUACUAUCAGAUGAGCCUCGGUCGGAUUAGCUAGUUGGUGGGGUAAAGGCCUACCACGGCGACGAUCCGUCACUUGUCUGAGAGGAUGGUCAGUCACACUGGAACUGAGACACGGUCCAGACUCCUACGGGAGGCAGCAGUGGGGAAUAUUGCACAAUGGGCGCAAGCCGGAUGAAGCCAUGCCGCGUGUAUGAAGAAGGCCUUCGGGUUGUAAAGUACUUUCAGCGGGGAGGCGUUACCCGCAGAAGAAGCACCGGCUAACUCCGUGCCAGCAGCCGCGGUAAUAC